CCGACCUUAGCUCAGUUGGUGGACCGGAGGACUGUAGUAGGGUGUAAACUGUUCAGAUAUCCUUAGGUCGCUGGUUCGAAUCUGGCAGGUGGGA
rnacentral:tRNA from 1 species